rnacentral:rRNA from 1 species
AGAGUUUGAUCAUGGCUCAGAUUGAACGCUGGCGGUAUGCUUAACACAUGCAAGUCGAACGCGAAAGCACCUUCGGGUGUAAGUAGAGUGGCGGACGGGUGAGUAAGGCAUGGGAAUCUGCCCUAUAGCGGGGGAUAACUUGGGGAAACCCAAGCUAAUACCGCAUACACCUACGGGUAAAAGAUGGCCUCUUCUUGAAAGCUAUUACUAUAGGAUGAGCCCAUGUAAGAUUAGCUAGUUGGUAGGGUAAAAGCCUACCAAGGCUACGAUCUUUAGCUGGUCUGAGAGGACGAUCAGCCACACUGGGACUGAGACACGACCCAGACUCCUACGGGAGGCAGCAGUGGGGAAUAUUGGACAAUGGGGGCAACCCUGAUCCAGCAAUACCGCGUGUGUGAAGAAGGCCUGCGGGUUGUAAAGCACUUUUAUCUGUGAGGAAGGGUUUAAUGUUAAUACCAUUAGACAU